rnacentral:sRNA from 1 species
GCAGCGAUGCCUCCCCGGCUGUUGGGGUGGCGGUGACGACAGGCAGCAAAAGACCAGCAGUAACCCUCCUCCCCACCCCCGCUAGAAGAGGGGAAAGGUAGAAAAGGUAGAGGACGCCACCCCCACCCUACUCUCCGCCGAGCUCCGGGGCUGUUCGCUUACAGCCCCCAGGUGGUCACGGUCCCUGCACCUGAGGAGUUGGCACCCAGGCACAUGAAGAAUAGAAGGAGCCUGUUUCCUACUUCGCCCUGGGUACUCCUUAGGCCACUCCACGGUCCUGUCAUGACUCUGUCGCCACUUCAACUGGUUCUUGGUCUGGGGGAAAACAAUGUUUCCAUUAGCUGUCCUGUCCCCACUCCCCAAUCUGUCCUGUUGGGGUGGGGGUACGGGGGUGGUUAAGUAUGAACCUGACACUUAUCAUUCCAGGGUAGCACGGGAGACAGGCGAGGGACCUACCAUCUCCUGCUCCUCCUCUUCGUUUCCAACCACUUUCCUUCACUUCGCCUGCUGGGAAACCAGCUUCACCCUGAUCCUGAUCUCUGGCGGUAGCUAGUUAUCCUUUACCACUUCUGUUCCAGCUGGUCCCAGAUUCGCUGCUGGAGUGCUGGAUGGAGCCUUUCUCUGCCCUCUGUGACAUUUCCAAUUUUAGAUAAUGCCUCACAUCUCUGUACCCCCGGGACCCCCUGGAGCCCCCAUGAUCCCUAAGAAGACAGCUUGAACCUAGAUCUCACCCCCAGGAUGUUGCGGAGGCUGCUGGAGCGGCCUUGCACGCUGGCCCUGCUUGUGGGCUCCCAGCUGGCUGUCAUGAUGUACCUGUCACUGGGGGGCUUCCGAAGU